UUUGUAGACGUGUACAUCAUCGUGACUUGAAUUACGAAAGGGCAUCCCCUAAGCAAACCCGGUGGGGCCCGCACUAUAUGCAUUUGGAUCACCAAUGACGUUGGGCCAACCUCAACCCUAAACCCUCAAAAGAUAAUAUGCAUGCAUUUUAUAAUGAAAUGAGCAUCACAUUUUCAAUAAUUUAUCAAACUUUCCCAUCCAAUAUCAACACAGAUGCUUUAAUUUUGUGGCACUAAAAUAAUCCAUAUAAGCUACAAUAAACUAUCUUAAGAGGUUAAUUACUAAUAUAUUUUAAAAUUUUUGAAAAGCGAAAGUUCUAUAAAAUUCCUCUAAUUUUUGGGCCCUUACUAAUAUAUUCUAAAAAAUUCUCAUCAUGUGUUCAUAAAGUUACAAUUCGUAGAAAAUUUCACUAUACCUCACAAGAUUAAACUGUAUAUUCAACUAUUAAAUUAUUUGAUAGACAAC
rnacentral:lncRNA from 1 species